GUCUCAGUUCGGAUCGGAGUCUGCAACCCGACUCCGUGAAGCUGGAUUCGCUAGUAAUCGCGCAUCAGCCAUGGCGCGGUGAAUACGUUCCCGGGUCUUGUACACACCGCCCGUCACACCAUGGGAGCCGGUAAUACCCGAAGUCAGUAGUCUAACCGCAAGGAGGACGCUGCCGAAGGUAGGAUUGGCGACUGGGGUGAAGUCGUAACAAGGUAAC
rnacentral:rRNA from 1 species